rnacentral:rRNA from 1 species
AACGGUUAAAGCCCCUUCGGGGGUGUAUAAAGUGGCGGACGGGCGAGGAAUACGUUCCUACGUACCCCGAGGUCGGGGAUAGCCCGGGGAAACCCGGAGUAAUACCCGAUGUGGUCCCGACUUCGUCGGGAUCAAAGGCUUGCCGCCUUGGGAGCGGGGAACGUCCUAUCAGGUUGUUGGUGAGGUAACGGCUCACCAAGCCGACGACGGGUAGCGGGUGUGAGAGCAUGACCCGCCGCAUCGGGACUGAGACACUGCCCGGACUCCUACGGGAGGCUGCAGUAACGAGUCUUCCGCAAUGCGCGAAAGCGUGACGGAGCAAUGCCGCGUGCAGGAUGAAGCCCUUCGGGGUGUAAACUGCUGUCAGGGUUUAGCAACCCAAUGAGCGAACCCAAAGGAAGGGCCGGCUAACUUCGUGCCAGCAGCCGCGGUAAUACGAAGGGCCCGAGCGUUAAUCGGAAUCACUGGGCUUAAAGCGUACGUAGGCGGGCGCGCAGGCAUCUUGUGAAAUCCCUCGGCUCAACCGAGGAACUGCUUGGUGAACCGCGCGUCUUGAGGCAAGUAGG